rnacentral:rRNA from 1 species
UACAGAGGUCUCAAGCGUUGUUCGGAAUCACUGGGCGUAAAGGGUGCGUAGGUGGCGUGGCAAGUCAGAUGUGAAAGCCCAGGGCUCAACCCUGGAAUUGCAUCCGAUACUGCCAUGCUAGAGUACUGAAGAGGUGACUAGAAUUCUCGGUGUAGCAGUGAAAUGCGUAGAUAUCGAGAGGAAUACCAAAGGCGAAGGCAGGUCACUGGGCAGUUACUGACACUGAGGCACGAAGGCUAGGGGAGCAAACGGG